UAACUCCGGGAAACCGGAGCUAAUACCGGAUAGUUCCUUGAACCGCAUGGUUCAAGGAUGAAAGACGGUUUCGGCUGUCACUUACAGAUGGACCCGCGGCGCAUUAGCUAGUUGGUGAGGUAACGGCUCACCAAGGCGACGAUGCGUAGCCGACCUGAGAGGGUGAUCGGCCACACUGGGACUGAGACACGGCCCAGACUCCUACGGGAGGCAGCAGUAGGGAAUCUUCCGCAAUGGACGAAAGUCUGACGGAGCAACGCCGCGUGAGUGAUGAAGGUUUUCGGAUCGUAAAGCUCUGUUGUUAGGGAAGAACAAGUGCAAGAGUAACUGCUUGCACCUUGACGGUACCUAACCAGAAAGCCACGGCUAACUACGUGCCAGCAGCCGCGGUAAUACGUAGGUGGCAAGCGUUGUCCGGAAUUAUUGGGCGUAAAGGGCUCGCAGGCGGUUUCUUAAGUCUGAUGUGAAAGCCCCCGGCUCAACCGGGGAGGGUCAUUGGAAACUGGGAAACUUGAGUGCAGAAGAGGAGAGUGGAAUUCC
rnacentral:rRNA from 1 species